AACAUUUAAAAUUAUUGGAUUGUUACAUCACUCUGUACGUACAUACUUAGAAUCAUAGAAUCCUAGAACAAUAGAUUUGUACAGCUGUAAGUAGUCCAAAAGGUCAUGAGUCCACCGCCCACUCAAGCAGGAAAUCCACAGCUAAAGCACUUCUGACAAGUCGCCAUCUAACUUCUUUGUUGAAACUUCUAGUGAAGGAGCACCCAAGGGAAUCAAUUCCAUUGUCAAAUAGCUUUUACUGUCAAGAACUUCUUCCUAAUAUUUAUGCAGCAUGUCCCUUCGUGUCAUUUGAAGCAAUAACUUUGGGUCCCACCUUCUGCAACUAUGGAAAACAUGCCUGUUCCCUCUUGCUUAACAGUCUAAUGACAUCCCCUAAUCGAUUUGCCAACCUCUGAGACAGCAAUAUGGUUGUUUAUUAGUACUCCUACAGUUAAUUAUGGGCUAGGGUCUAACUGGCAAAAUGUUAAGCUCCCAAAGAUUGCCAGCUCUUCAUAGGAUGUACAGCUCCUUUACUCUUGUUGUGACUAGUAUGCUUAGAUUCAGCAGCAUUGGGAGGAUCCAGUUGGGCACUUGUGAUGAUGGAAGACACAUUGCCCCUUUCAUGCAGCCACACCCCAUGCCAUUAUUAUCUGUUCUGGACAUCUGGGAAACAUGAUCAAACAAUUAU
rnacentral:lncRNA from 1 species